rnacentral:lncRNA from 1 species
GAAAAAGAGGUUUUCAGGAAAGCAGUAGACAAGUUCCUUCAGCUCAACACGAUGCCACUGGCCCGGGCAGGCACCCACGGGUAAAGACGCUCCCGAUCAUCAGAAGGUGCCUGUAUUACUAUGCCAUCUUCGGGACCUAGAGAUUACAAACAAAGUUGCCAUCAGCACCGCUCAGCACACAGGACAGGCCACGCACCUCCUCUCUCUGAUUCUAGGGCAUCUGCUGAUCGCUCACUGCAGGGGACAGAAGCUGAGUGAAGAUAGGACGAGCAGGAAGCACAUACUCUGCACACCAAGCCCCUGAACUUGCGAGUAGAAGGCAGCAGAUGUGCCAACCUCCCUCCCUUCUUCCUCCUUCAGGGACAUUCUCCAGAGGACUAUGGCCAAAACUGUGAGGUCUGCUCUGUACUUCCAUCCCGGGUAGCAGAGGCCUGAUAUAACCCCAUCAACAUCACCUGGGUUCCAGGCCUGCCUUUGGCAGGUAACUGUACUGCGCAUGAUGACGAAGGGCCUUCUGGCCGUGUUUUGUGGGUCCACCACAGCCGACAUGCUGAUUCCCCUGGCAGGUGAAGAUGCCCACGGACCACCCCCCACAGAGACCCUCAGGGGUGGGUUAAACCCUUGGGUGUUCCGCCAGCAUUUACUGCAGGUUUUUUGCUUCAUCCUUGUCUCACUGGGAACAGUGCAGCUUCCUGAGUUCUGGGACAGACCAAGAACUGGGCACAGGCCCGGGCCAUCGCCCAGUUCCAGUUACUGCCGGAACAACCCACCUUGGGAACAACGCGGAUGCUAGAAACCCUGACAGUGCAUACUGCCAACCGCAUCAGGAGGGCCUGGUUUUGUUGCUUCCAUGCUUAACAAGAAAUAAAAGGCCUACUGAAACCACCUACAGGACGCAAAACCCCAGUCAGAGAAGUGGUCUAGAGGUAGUAGUAACUGUAGUAAAAUUAAACUCUUCUUUCCACCAAAUGACAAAUGAACACAAUUUUAAAGACCGACUUCUCCCAGGAGCCCUGGGCCACCAUUAGAGCAAACCAAAGCCAUUGGUAAUUUAUCCAAAGUAAAGUGUUCUUUGGAAGGAAUGCUUUCAAGAAUUGAACCCACUCAGGGUGCCUGGGUGGUUCAGUCGAUUAAGUAUCCAACUCUUAGUUUGGACUCAGGUCAUGAUCUCAUGAUUUGUGAGUUCAAGCCUCACAUCUGGCUUUGUGCUGUCAGAUUCUCUCUCUCCCUCUCUCUCUCUGCCCCUCCCCCAUGUGUGUGCAUGCUCUGUCUCUCUCUCUCAAAAUAAAUAAACUUAAAAAAAAAAAAAAAGAAUUGAAUCCACUCCUGCUAGGACAGCAAGUAAGUGAAAGCUUGUGUUUUGAAACAUACUUAUUAAAAAUACCUAUGGGGCGGGGCGCCUGGGUGGCUCAGUCAGUUAAGCGUCCGACUUCAGCUCAGGUCACGAUCUCGCGGUAUGUGAGUUCGAGCCCCGCGUCCGGCUCUGUGCUGACCGCUCAGAGCCUGGAGCCUGUUUCAGAUUCUGUGUCUCCCUCUCUCUCUGACCCUACCCCGUUCAUGCUCUGUCUCUCUCUGUCUCAAAAAUAAAUAAACAUUAAAAAAAAAAAAUACCUAUGGGGCACCUGGGUAGCUUAGUCAGUUGAGCCUCGACUCGAUACAGGCUCAAAUUGUGAUCUUAUGGUCCUGAGAUCAAGCCCUGCAUCAGGCUCCACUCUCAGUGUGGAGCCUGCUUGGGAUUCUCUCUUACUCUCUCUCUCUCUCCCUCCCUCCCUCCCUCCCUCCCUCUGUCCCUCUCUCCUGCUCGUGCACUCUCUCUCUCAAAAUAAAUACUUUAAAAAUAUUCCAAUACAUGCAAAUACAAAGAAAAUGCUGUGGCAAAAGGACUGCACUCUUCACCCAAGACCCUACCACACGUUCUAAUUUUGAAGGCCUGGAAGAUACAGACAUCUUUUACAGUUGCUUCCAGGCAAACCCAAUGCUCCUUUCAACCUCUAAGAUGAAGGAAUUGGCCAUGAGACGACUAGGAAAGAUCUGGACUCUACGUGCCUUGCUCUAACUCUUGUUCACCAUGACAUUCCAGGCAAUUCAUUUUGCCAACAGCUCUGAGAGGCUGGGGUUAAAUGAUCACACAUAAAACAGACACACACACACACACACACACAAAGAGGACCAUGGUGGGAUUAAAGAUGGCAGUUUACUAUGUGAAAGUAUUGGCCAAAAUGUGAAUAACUUCAAAAAGGUAAUUAUUAUCCCUCCUGCCCCAACUUGUUAAUCAUCAACUUUUCUCACUUCAUCUGUAUGUUGCCCAAAAUGUGGUUAAAGAGUAGCAAGGAAAGAAAGAACCUUCAAAUCCACCUGCUCUGCUCAUUGGAAAUGCAAUAAACCCGGAGAAGGUAUGCUCCAAAGAGAACUCCUCUCUUAGCCAUGGUCAGAGACCCCUGGGAUGCAUGAGGAAUCUCGGUUGAAUGAAUGAGCCAAUGAAAGAAUCAAGCUGCAACUCAAAACAGAGAAACAGAGCUGGAAAAUCCACUGGAAAUUCCCAGGGUCCCACUGAAAGACUAGUUUAGGCUUUAUGUUUGCCAGACUGUUCUACAGUGUAGAAGUUGUUUUUGGAAACGUUGGAUACAUUCUCUAUUCAGGUAAUCUGUGGUAUCUGUAAACCAAUUAUACUGAGCUUCCCAAUACUGGGUUUGCCCCAAUAUUGUAAGAACACUCCAGGCACAAAUGGCAGGAAGCUACAAUAUUAGCCGUGACUUCCAAACUGCUCUCCCUCCACAACCACAUUGUUCAUUUACUCAUUUGUUGUCUUUGCACACUCAGCCUGAACUGCCACCUUCCCCUGUAUCCAAACUUUCCUUGCAGUGAGCAUCUGAACGUCUCAAUACAAUGGCCCAAUUCAGACAAAUACUAUUAAAAUUUCACUCAUUUUACUUCAGAGCUUAGCUCCUGGAGAUAGAGACAUCCUUGCUGCAAACUAGUGCAGCCCACCAGCUGAGGUCACGAGCUCCAGUCCAGCAGCACUGGCCAGUCUCCCCAGCAACAGAUGCAGGGGUCAGCAGGCCUGUAGUACAUGGACAGCCACUCCCCUCCUGUCCCAGACAAUAAAUUCAGCUCUCAGACACCCACUGCCAUGGUUGCAAGCUACUGAGAUAGCCUCGUUUAUAUAACUACCUUUGGUAAACAGCCCUUUAUAAGUCUAGCACACAUUACUACUCACUUUGUUUUAAGACAGAAAAAAACACUACAGUUGAGAAAUAUUGUCCAGACUUUUUUUUUCUUCAGUUACAACUACUUAAGAAUGAAAUGCUCCCCACUCCCCACCCUAUCCCACCCCUUCCACCAUGGCCAAUACACAGCCUGCCUGAGGCACAGGGAUUUGUUGCUCACAGGAUUUUGGAUACCGCUCCCACCACCCCACCACCCCCAACUAGAAUUACAUAGAAAACUGCCUGCAAAGUCAGGAACAGAAUCCCAGGUUUCCAGUUCCUAGUCUGUGGUUAGCAUCAUCCCUACGUGCUUGGGCAUCUCAAGUUCAUUCUCAACUGAAAUCCAGUAAUAGCGUCACUGGUAGGAUGCCCAGUAUUCACCUACAGUUGCAUAUACACACAGGGUGGGUGGGAAAGAAUCAAAGUGGCUGAGUCUUCUUUUCUGUUUCCUCUCUGUACCUCCAUCCUUUUGGAGGAAGGGGCUUCUCAUCUGAGACCUCUGACCUGACAAAUCAGGAAGGCAGAGGCGGGUUGAGGGAGAGGAAUAAGGAGGAUAGAGGACCUUCACCAAUGAAUGGGGAGGGUAGAGGAAUAGAGACGUAGCAACUAGUCUGCAAUCAACGAGUUAAACUUCACUGCCAACCUGUUGGGUACCUCGGCUGUAGCAGCCCCAUUCCCUCAUUCAAUCUGAGCCUCCUCUUCCAAGUAGAUCAGCUAUCAUUCAAGACACUUCCCACUGUUGGCGGUGAGGAAUUUCUUCUGCCCUAUAUCUAUCAAUCACAUCCUUCUUUGUCACAAUGCUCACUUUCACAGCAUUCUGGAGAAAAACACUAAAUGCAAACAUACUGCCAGCUCUUUAAGCAGAAAUGAAAUAAAUCCAUGAUCAUAAAUAUUCAAUGAGCAUCCUGAAUCCAGAAAGGUAUUUAGCUUCUAAGAAAGAUUUCCCUGCUUUGUCCUAGCCCACCGCCCCAUUUUGACUGCAUUCCAAUUUGCAAAUGCUUUUUUUCUCUCAUCACGAAAGCUAGAGGGCCACACAGCUGCUUGGUCUGUGAUGCAAUCUGUUUUAUUUUUAUAGCAAAAGGUCUAUGAGGUUUGCUUUUGCUGCUUUCUUGAGGAUUUACAAGAAGUCUCCCGAUACCAAUAUCCCCAAACUACUACAUUCAGUUUCCUGACAGGCAACAUAUUUUAGAAGAGACCUGCAAACAGAAGUCCCAGCCAGGCAUAUGCAUACCCCACCCAGAGACAGUCCACAAGCACCCAGAAUCAGUGGUUAGGGGAGCACCAUCAGUUACAAUAAUUCACUUUGCUCCCACUGCUUAAAACUCUGUAGUGAAGAGGGGCGCCUGGGUGGCGCAGUCGGUUAAGCGUCCGACUUCAGCCAGGUCACGAUCUCGCGGUCCGUGAGUUCGAGCCCCGCGUCGGGCUCUGGGCUGAUGGCUCAGAGCCUGGAGCCUGUUUCCGAUUCUGUGUCUCCCUCUCUCUCUGCCCCUCCCCUGUUCAUGCUCUGUCUCUCUCUGUCCCGAAAAUAAAUAAACGUUGAAAAAAAAAAAAAUUUUAAAACUCUGUAGUGAAGAGAGAUCGUACUCACAUCCGGGGGUCUGUCCUCCCCAUUCUACAUAGUGUUCUGUUGCUGGGUAAUUGCUGUCAAUUAUUUCCUGGAGACAUGAUUAGCUUCCUAGGGUUGUCACACCCAGUGGGUCUGCAAUCAUUUACUUGCCUUUUUCCCUCGAGCUCUCUCUGCCAACUCUGGCCAAAUCACAUCUGAAAGCUUAUUAAGACAUCCAUUCAGCUCACAAUGUCAUGGCUUCCUCCUAGUCUGCUCGUCACAGCUUCUGAAAGUCUUAGGGCUUCAGGUUUUGUCAGACUGCUCCCUUCUGCCGGCAAAGGACCUGUAACACUGCCCUAUCGAAGAGUCAGGGAAUAAUUCACAAAUGGGAGGAAUGCUUUUGAAUCAGAGAAAUGAAGUCUGAACUCUGCCAGCAGUAAUGCCAGGAGAAGAGAGGGAUGUGCAUGUUGUAAAGGAGGGAGAACGAAGGAGGGGUCAAGAUCUAUAAUGAACCACCU